ACACCCCUCUCUCUCGCCUCAGCAACGGAGGCACGCAACACGGACGCACUGCACCGAUCCCAAGAUGCACUAGGGCUGGCCCGCCACUGAUGGCGAUGGCUAUCAAAUGGCAACUACGGCGACGUUGACGCGCUUUAUCCCCCACCGCUGCCGCCUCCUGAGCGGCCGAGAUCCCGAGCGUGGUGAGCUCCCUUCCCUUCCCCACUUCCUCGCUACCAUGCCCAUCCCUACCCCCGUUCCGUUCCCAAGGCAACGGCCCCACGGUCCCUCUAACCUAGGAUUGUCGACCUGAUCUGUCGGCGUGCACAUGACGAUGGUGGUGCCGGUCUCAAUCGCCCUGAUUUGGUUUGACUGAGAAUCAUCGAUGUGUGGGCGACAAGCAGAUUUCCUUGGAUGUCUCCAUGCCACGCUACCGUGCUCGAUUUCAUUCACAGGCUUCAGGAAAUAUUUGUGGUCAAGCAAGCGGGAUGCUCUUCCUCCAUGCAUGCACAUGUUCUGCAUUAUGGGUUCUUUGGUCUCCUGCUAAGUACAUUUGGUGCUCUUUGACGCUCAUGUGUUCCUUUGGCUAGCUUUCAGAUGAAGACUGAAUGCACGUGCAAGUACGAUCAGGAAGCAAUCGAGGAAUAUACGAGACUAUUUCUGCAAUUGUUGUCCCUAGCUCCCUAACUCCGUUGAGUCGAUAACCAUAUUAUCCUGUGAUGUAAGCUGGCUUAUGAUCUUUGGACAGAUUUGGGUCUCCUUAACUCUGAUUUCCUGGUAUCCAUUCUUUAUGACCCUCAUUGCCACAACAAAUGAAUUUUUGUUCAUAUUUGUCAUCCAGAUGGGUUAAGGAAGACAAGGUAGUGCACUUCCAGAUGUUUGUCCUCCUCUCCAAGACGAUGUCAGUUUGGUUAUGCAUGCGGAAUGUUUUCUUGAUGUCAUGCAUAUUACAAAGGCUUCUAUGGAUCUUGAAGCUUUUGCUUGUAUCAUCUAUUAGAUAUUUUUUCUGAACUCUCUAUGUUAUCCCUCUUUGCACUGACCUAUAAUUUUUGUUUGAGCAGGGACAGUGCAGCGAACACGAGCAAAUAAAUUGGUAGAAGGUGCAGACGACUAUCUGAACCAAGGCUUGUGUAAUAUGUAAAGUGAGUGACAGAUGCAGUAUCUAGCUCUUUGAUAAGUAUUGGGAUGUAGGUAGGACACAUCUAAUCUGAAUUGAAAUAUGGAUGGCGUGAAUAGUCUGUAUGUUCGAUUUUCGAUCGAAUGUUGAAUUAUUAUCAACUAGAUCUACCUCCACCGACAUUACUAGCUCCUCCUUGAAUACCAACUAUCGGAAAGAGAGCAAUGAUACUGUGAUUGUACUGUUUUAUGCCAGGUGUUAAAGAAUACUAUUUGCAAUCAGUUA